CAAAAUUGUCAGUAACUGUUUUAGAACCUAUUCGAGGAUCACUCGCUUUCAUUGUUCAUAUUUCAUUUAAACACAGAAGCAAUUCCGUAACUGUUUGAUAUUUUAUGUACUUUCUUAGAUAUGGACAAAAUCAGUGAAGAAAAUGUAAAUGUUGCUGUUAUUGAUUUUUCGAAAUUUAAGGACGAUAUGACUCCAUUUUAUUUAAAUAAGGCCUUUUCCGACAUCAUUUUAAACGUAGAUGGAGAAAAAAUUGUAGCCCACAAGCUUAUUCUGGCUGCCAGAUGUAUUUUUUUUGAAUUGCUACUGCUAAGCAAUCCAGACCAAAGUGAAAUUGUGUUAACCAACGUUCCUGUUGACUGCUUCAAGAAGAUUAUAAAAUAUUUAUACACAGUAUGUAAUUUGCAGGAUGUAUUAGUUUAAACUUUUCAGAUUUAAACUUUUUGUUUGAAAUACUAAAACUAGCACGAGCUUAUUCAUUAAAAGCAUUAGUGACGGCAGUGAGCCAGGAAGCAACAUCUAGUUUAACCACAGAAAAUGUUUGUUUAAUUUUAAAUCUAGCAAACAACUACGAUUUUGAAGAAAUUAGACAAAUAUGCCAUACUUUUAUAGAUGAACAUAUUUCAGACAUUCUGAUGAGUGAACCUAAUUUUUUCAACGCCCUUACUCAAAAAUCAAUGAUUAAACUGUUAGAGAGGGAUAUAUUUCCUCUACCAGAAAUUGAAAUUUUUAAAAUAGUGUCACACUGGUGCAAUAUUCACAAAGACGAGAAUAAUUUGGUCAUAAACUGCAUUCGAUUUUCACGCUUAACCAGACACGAAAUUUUAAAUAUUGUUAGGCCUACAAAACUCGUAGAUAGUGACAAGCUGUUAGAGUUGCUGGCAUAUAUUGAAGAGAAUAAUACUUCAGUAUCAACCAUAACAUCCCACAGUUUACAACUUUAUAAAAAGGUAUACAACGAUAUAGCCGUUUCCUUGACAUCAGAAGAAGAUUUAUUCCUUCAAAGAAUUUUCCAAAUAUCUCCCCAUAACAUGUAAUAUAACUCAUUUUAACAAAAUAUUCCGAUAAAAUAAAUCUGGAAAAAUUGGUA